AAAUUGAAGAGUUUGAUCAUGGCUCAGAUUGAACGCUGGCGGCAGGCCUAACACAUGCAAGUCGAACGGUAACAGGAAGCAGCUUGCUGCUUUGCUGACGAGUGGCGGACGGGUGAGUAAUGUCUGGGAAACUGCCUGAUGGAGGGGGAUAACUACUGGAAACGGUAGCUAAUACCGCAUAACGUCGCAAGACCAAAGAGGGGGACCUUCGGGCCUCUUGCCAUCGGAUG
rnacentral:rRNA from 1 species